rnacentral:sRNA from 1 species
GCGCUGGCAAAAUCCAGCGCCGGGAUUCAGAACCCCGCAAGCUACAUAGAGGCAUUAGGCGCUUAGCGCCUGUUGU